rnacentral:rRNA from 1 species
AUACGGAGGAUCCGAGCGUUAUCCGGAUUUAUUGGGUUUAAAGGGUGCGCAGGCGGGAGAUUAAGUCGGCGGUGAAAUUUUGCCGCUCAACUGUAAAAGUGCCUUCGAAACUGGUUUCCUUGAGUGUAGAUGAAGUAGGCGGAAUUUGUGGUGUUGCGGUGAAAUGCAUAGAUAUCACGAGGAACUCCGAUUGCGCAGGCAGCUUACUAAACUACUACUGACGCUCAGGCACGAAGGCGUGGGGAUCAAACAGGAUUAGAUACCCUGGUAGUCCACGCAGUAAACGAUGAUUACUAGCUGUUUGCGAUACAAUGUAAGCGGCUGAGCGAAAGCGUUAAGUAAUCCACCUGGGGAGUACGUUCGCAAGAAUGAAACUCAAAGGAAUUGACGGGG